rnacentral:rRNA from 1 species
UACGUAGGGGGCGAGCGUUGUCCGGAUUUAUUGGGCGUAAAGAGCGUGUAGGCGGCCAGGUAGGUCCGUUGUGAAAAACUCGAGGCUCAACCUCGAGACGUCGAUGGAAACCAUCUGGCUAGAGUCCGGAAGAGGAGAGUGGAAUUCCUGGUGUAGCGGUGAAAUGCGCAGAUAUCAGGAAGAACACCUAUGGCGAAGGCAGCUCUCUGGGACGGUACUGACGCUGAGACGCGAAAGCGUGGGGAGCGAACAGG